rnacentral:rRNA from 1 species
GACGAACGCUGGCGGCGUGCCUAAUACAUGCAAGUAGAACGCACAGUUUAUACCGUAGCUUGCUACACCAUAGACUGUGAGUUGCGAACGGGUGAGUAACGCGUAGGUAACCUGCCUGGUAGCGGGGGAUAACUAUUGGAAACGAUAGCUAAUACCGCAUAAUAUUAAUUAUUGCAUGAUAAUUGAUUAAAAGGUGCAAUUGCACCACUACCAGAUGGACCUGCGUUGUAUUAGCUAGUAGGUGAGGUAACGGCUCACCUAGGCGACGAUACAUAGCCGACCUGAGAGGGUGAUCGGCCACACUGGGACUGAGACACGGCCCAGACUCCUACGGGAGGCAGCAGUAGGGAAUCUUCGGCAAUGGACGAAAGUCUGACCGAGCAACGCCGCGUGAGUGAAGAAGGUUUUCGGAUCGUAAAGCUCUGUUGUAAGAGAAGAACGGGUGUGAGAGUGGAAAGUUC